UACAGAGGGUGCAAGCGUUAUUCGGAAUCACUGGGCGUAAAGCGCAUGUAGGUGGACAGGAAAGUUAGUUGUGAAAUCCCGGGGCUCAACUUCGGAAUGGCAAUUAAAACUACCUGUCUUGAGAUUGGGAGAGGGAGAUAGAAUUCCAGGAGUAGAGGUGAAAUUCGUAGAUAUCUGGAGGAAUACCGGAGGCGAAGGCGGUUUCCUGGCCCAAGACUGACACUGAGAUGCGAGAGCGUGGGGAG
rnacentral:rRNA from 1 species